rnacentral:rRNA from 1 species
GAUGAACGCUGGCGGCGUGCCUAAUACAUGCAAGUCGAGCGAACGGACGGGAAGCUUGCUUUUCUGAUGUUAGCGGCGGACGGGUGAGUAACACGUGGAUAACCUACCUAUAAGACUGGGAUAACUUCGGGAAACCGGAGCUAAUACCGGAUAAUAUUUUGAACCGCAUGGUUCAAAAGUGAAAGACGGUCUUGCUGUCACUUAUAGAUGGAUCCGCGCUGCAUUAGCUAGUUGGUAAGGUAACGGCUUACCAAGGCAACGAUGCAUAGCCGACCUGAGAGGGUGAUCGGCCACACUGGAACUGAGACACGGUCCAGACUCCUACGGGAGGCAGCAGUAGGGAAUCUUCCGCAAUGGGCGAAAGCCUGACGGAGCAACGCCGCGUGAGUGAUGAAGGUCUUCGGAUCGUAAAACUCUGUUAUUAGGGAAGAACAUAUGUGUAAGUAACUGUGCACAUCUUGACGGUACCUAAUCAGAAAGCCACGGCUAACUACGG